CAUGCAGUAAAGCCCAAAUUACGUAUACAAACCCUAAACCCUAAAUUGAAGAUACAAACAUUUGUUAAAUAACAUGCUGCGGCAGCCACUUCUGUCUAAAAGCUUGCUUCUUCUAGAUUCUGCUUUUUGCAUAUCAUGCUGCAGUUUUCUUUUUAUUGUCAAUCUCCGUUCAAAAAUUGCUCAAUCACCUGAUAAAUUAUUGGUAUUCUUUUCUUUUCAUUGGCAACUGAUUUAAUGAACAGAAAAAGGAUUUAUCAGGCCGAAGAAGUUGUGAAGAAGUUGUGAAGAUAAUGUUCUCCUUCACUUCAAAAAAUUUACUUGCAAUUUAAGAUUUUGAUUAUGUUGCAGUUUAGAUUAGCUUUUUUUUUGACACAUGUUUAGAUCAGCUUUUAAAUUAUAUAGGUUUCUUAAUUAAAACUAGUUUAUGAUUGUUCAUUUAUUUUUAAAAUGCUUAAACUUGUAGAUAUUCAUAAAGAUAUCAAAUGAAAGAGCUUCUAAAAUAAAUAAAAUUAAGAUGCAAAAAGUGUUGAUUGAUACAAAUUAUAAGCAAUAAAUAUUUGUUACUUUUUUUUUUCCUGAUUACAUUUGAAAUGUUUAUACUCUAUAUAUCAUGUUGGGUUAUUAUUGAUUGGCAUUGUAGUACAUAUACAGGUCUAUUUAUUCGUUUCUCUCCAGAGGAUUGUUGGUUGCGUGGUUGCAGAACCGAUCAAUGAAGCAUUCAGAAUUGUGUCUUGCUCGGUUGUUGAGGAUUCUGCAAGAAAAAGGGAAAAGAAGCCUUGUCCAACCACUCUACAGUUUGGGGAUAUUGUAAGCUGUGAAUGUGAGUAAUUCUGAGGAUAUUGUUGAGGAAUGUGAGUCACUGUGAAAGCAAUCCUGUUGCUGCUGUUUGUGGCAUUAUAGCCAUUUGGGUCACUCCCUCCAACAGAAGAAAACACAUUGCUAGCCAGAUACUGGAUGCUGUGAGGAAAAGUUUCUGCAACCGGCAUGGAGUUUGAACAUGCACAGCUAGCAUUCUCUGUACCAACCUCAGUUGGUAAGGCCUUUGCACAUAGUUACACUAGUACUGGAUCAUUCUUGGUGUAUAAAGAAGCGCAACCGGGAAGUAGAAACAGUUGUGGAAUUAGUGAGUCUUGUGUCAUAGAAAUGUAGAUAGCAUACUCUUCUCUUUCUGUCAGAAAAUGUUUAGGAAAAACAUUUGCCGCCGGUGGUGUAAUGGUUGUUGAGUGAGAGAUUUCAUUAGGCCUACCACCUUUAACGAGCACCGCAGAAUUAUAGGGAUGAUUGAUUUUCUUUUGAAGAAUACAUACAAAGCUUAAUUCUUGUAGGUUGUACACAGCAUAAAUGACAAGUUUAGUGUCUAAAAUAAUAGUGGUUAACAAUUUGAUAAAAUUUUAAAAUAACAUCUGAAAUUAAGUGUGUUCAACCAAAUUACAAUUUGAGACAAUUUCAGAGAUGAUACAAACAUAAUACAUUGAUUUUAAUGGAUGUUUUUUUCUAAUUCUGACAUGGUAGUUCUGUGGUGUAUUGGUUCAGUGUGUAUAGCUUUAACCUUUGUCAAGAUAAUAGCUAUGCUGUUACAGUCCUUAUCUAGCUAUGAAGUACUUGUGAGCUGGGAUUAAGCAUGUUAAUAUUCAUGUGUCACAUUUGUUCAGUUAUUUUAUUUUUGUGUUAACCAUCCGAUUCCUAGGAGAAGGGAUUCUAGUAAUUUGA